GCUACAGCAGCACUUUGACUGUGGGAAAAUAUUCAUCAUGUGUAUAUUAUAUUGAAGGCAUUCCUUCAGUAUUUUUAUAAGUGUCCUGUUUUCUCUUUCAGAUUGCAGGCUCCGGGAAGGCAAGAACCAAUUCUUAGACAUCUUUCUAUCCCCAUUCUGUUUUUAUUGGCUAAAUACCUACUGACUGAAUUAAUACAUGAAUGGAGAUAUUUGGGAUAUUCUGAAGGAAAGAAAUGUAGGAAACCAGUGCACUGCUUACAAACGCUAUUUCAGCUGAAGAAAUGGACUGCAAACUCACAGAAUGGGAGGGAGAAAGAGGCGACCGUCCCGAACAGUUGCAGAGGUGCUAAAGGAACGAGAAGCUUGAAGUUGGGGUGUGGAGGACACAGGUGCACCGCCUUCCUGACCAAAGGCUGUGGAAGAGACCACAGGUGUCAGCAACAAUUGCAGCACAGGGGACAUGAGGCACGUGUGCCUGUUUCUCAGCGGUCACCAAUGAUGAGGAGGGAUAAGCUGUAGCUAAAAGACGCAAGGCUGGGCUGGGAGGAGACAGCGUUGACCCAGACGCCAGAGUUACCUCCAAAUUUAAGGCCACCUCGUGUUCCAAAAUAGCUGCUGGAGUGCCAGUGCAUAGCCACAAGACCAGAGGAAGAGAGAUACAGCAAGAGAGGGAACACAGCAGGAGGA